rnacentral:rRNA from 1 species
UAGGGAAUCUUCGGCAAUGGACGAAAGUCUGACCGAGCAACGCCGCGUGAGUGAAGAAGGUUUUCGGAUCGUAAAACUCUGUUGUUAGAGAAGAACAAGGACGUUAGUAACUGAACGUCCCCUGACGGUAUCUAACCAGAAAGCCACGUCUAACUACGUGCCAGCAGCCGCGGUAAUACGUAGGUGGCAAGCGUUGUCCGGAUUUAUUGGGCGUAAAGCGAUCGCAGGCGGUUUCUUAAGUCUGAUGUGAAAGCCCCCGGCUCAACCGGGGAGGGUCAUUGGAAACUGGGGGACUUGAGUGCAGAAGAGGAGAGUGGAAUUCCAUGUGUAGCGGUGAAAUGCGUAGAUAUAUGGAGGAACACCAGUGGCGAAGGCGGCUCUCUGGUCUGUAACUGACGCUGAGGCUCGAAAGCGUGGGGAGCAAACAGG